UAACAGCUGGAAACGGCUGCUAAUACCGAAUGUGGUGCAGCGGGACAACCCGUCUGCAUUAAAGUGGGGGACCUCCUCGGAGGCCUCGCGGUUAGAGAUGGGCCCAUGGGAUAUCAGCUUGUUGGUGAGGUAAUGGCUCACCAAGGCUAAGACGUCUAGGCGGGUUGAGAGAUUGACCGCCAACACUGGGACUGAGAACUGCCCAGACUCCUACGGGAGGCUGCAGUCGAGAAUCAUUCGCAAUGGGCGAAAGCCUGACGAUGCGACGCCGCGUGAACGAAGAAGGCCCUCGGGUUGUAAAGUUCUUUCGCUUGGGAGCAAGAGAGGUAGGUCAAUAGCCUGCCAAUUUGAGAGUAUCAGGUAAAGAAGCACCGGCUAACUCCGUGCCAGCAGCUGCGGUAAUACGGAGGGUGCAAGCGUUAAUCGGAUUUAUUGGGCGUAAAGUGUGUCUAGGUGGAAAGAUCAGUCAGAUGUGAAAUCCCAGGGCUCAACCCUGGAACUGCAUUUGAAACUGUCUUUCUAGAGGGUAGGCGGAGGAAACAGAAUUCUGCAAGUAGCGGUGAAAUGCGUAGAUAUGCAGAAGAAUACCGGUGGCGAAGGCGGUUUUCUAGCUUAUUCCUGACACUGAAGCACGAAAGCAAGGGGAGCAAACAGGAUUAGAUACCCUGGUAGUCCUUGCCGUAAACGAUGCAUACUAGGUGUAGUUGGUUUCAACCCCGACUGUGCCGUAGCUAACGUGAUAAGUAUGCCGCCUGGGGAGUACGCUCGCAAGGGUGAAACUCAAAAGAAUUGACGGGGACCCGCACAAGCAGUGGAGCAUGUGGUUUAAUUCGAUGCAACGCGAAGAACCUUACCCAGGCUUGACAUGCAGUGGCCAGCGCCAGAGAUGGCGCCUUCCUUCGGGACUGCUGCACAGGUGCUGCAUGGCUGUCGUCAGCUCGUGCCGUGAGGUGUUGGGUUAAGUCCCGCAACGAGCGCAACCCUUAUCGUUAGUUGCCAGCAUUUUAAGAUGGGAACUCUAACGAGACUGCCUGGGUUAACCAGGAGGAAGGUGAGGAUGACGUCAAGUCCGCAUGGCCCUUAUGUCUGGGGCUACACACGUGCUACAAUGGCCGGUACAAAGGGCAGCCAAGCCGCAAGGCGGAGCAAAUCCCAUCAAAGCCGGUCCCAGUUCGGAUUGUCGUCUGCAACUCGACGACAUGAAGCCGGAAUUGCUAGUAAUGGCGUGUCAGCAAUAACGCCGUGAAUACGUUCCCGGGUCUUGUACACACCGCCCGUCACAUCAUGGAAGUUGGUUUUACCCGAAGCCGCUGACCCGACCGCAAGGAGGGAGGCGUCGAAGGUGAGGCUGAUGACUGGGAUGAAGUCGAACAAGGUA
rnacentral:rRNA from 1 species